GAUGAAGAACGUAGCGAAAUGCGAUAAGUAAUGUGAAUUGCAGAAUUCAGUGAAUCAUCGAAUCUUUGAACGCACAUUGCGCCCGGUAGUAUUCUGCCGGGCAUGCCUGUUCGAGCGUCAUUGCUGCCCUCAAGCACGGCUUGUGUGUUGGGCCUCCGUCCUCCUCCCGGGGGACGGGCCCGAAAGGCAGCGGCGGCACCGCGUCCGGUCCUCGAGCGUAUGGGGCUUCGUCACCCGCUCUUGUAGGCCCGGCCGGCGCUUGCCGACACAUCAAUCUUUUUUCCAGGUUGACCUCGGAUCAGGUAGGGAUACCCGCUGAACUUAAGCAUAUCAAUAAGCGGAGGA
rnacentral:misc_RNA from 1 species